GAUGAAGAAUGCGGGCUGAAAUUGAUAUUGAGGUUGCUCAUUGAUGACAUGACCAUAGGUUUUCAAGGCCUUAUGCUCUUUAUAUGUUGUUGCAAGAGAUAAGGACCCGUGGGUGAGUGCUGCCACUGGCUUGGAGCUUGUGCUUGGCCCUAAGGCAAGACCUGGGACGGUUGAUGCAGCAGCCAUUGGCCACACAAAGACUAUCUAAACAUGGUAUUGAGACAUUAAAAUUCCUAAAUAUAUAUAUAUAUAUAUAUGGGAUUGUGGUUUGUGAAAGAGAACAAAGGAUAAAGGUCCGUGUCUUGUGCUUUGGCAUGAAGUAAGGAACUACUCUUAGGUAUAUCUGCCCCUGCCUUGGCCUGUAAUCAAAGAACCACUGAGCUUAUGUAAUACUUUUUCAGGUGUUAGGCUUUCCAUGGAAACCAUUUUGGCCACUUUUGUAUUUAUCAAACCACAUUCCACAUAUAGAAGGUAGUAGGUAUAAGUGUUGUGCGUUAGUGGUGGGGUUUUGUUUUUAACUGAAAAAAAAAAAAAAAAAAAAAAGAAAAAAGAAAAAAAGAA